AGACAGGAGAGAGCAAGUUCAUUUUGAAACUGUGCUUCCCUGAUCUACUUCAGUCAAUAGGAUCGUUCUAAGAAGACAGAGAAGACGACCUUGGAAAAAAUAGAUGGAGCAUCGCUACUAUGCAUUAUAGCCCACUGAUAAGGCAGGAAGUUGUGGCUGAGAGAUACUACCUCCUUCCCAUCUCCAAAGGCGUGUUUAGGAGCUUCCGAAUAGAUUAUGUUCAUACUAGGGAUGGCAUGAGGAUGCUACCUAAAGCAGUCUUCUACUGAUCCUGAGAAGAUUAUUGUGUCAACUGGUUGUGAGGUUCCUGGACUUAGUCUGCUCUACAGAUCCCCAUCUCUUCAAGAAGACCUCAGCCCCAUUUGGAAGCACAAAUGAGAUCUCAGCUGGGGUGAGCUGAUCUUUGCUGUGCCACUGCUCUUUUCUCUGAACUUGGGAGACAUGACAUCUCACCAGCUCUUUUGGAGCAAGUUUUGACUUUCACAGGUUUGGCAUUUCUGGUCCAUCUAGAUAUUUGAAAAUCUUUCCACUUUUGAAAGUUGCCUUUACUUCAGAACAGAACACAGACAGAAGCUUGGCUGAUUCACUUUAUUGUAAUUCAAGUUUCAGUGAGUGGUGAAACUGAAAUAAGAAAAAUCAGUUUAAAACUGACUUUCUCUUGGCCUGUGACCUUGGUAUCAUCUUUGUCUUCACUUUCAAUUAUACUAGUAAAAGAAAAAAAAAAAGAUUUGAGCAGCAGCACUUCAAAAUACAUGUUUUUUAAGAGUCUGCAAUUGUUAGACAUCCUUCAUUUCAGGCCUACAGAUGUUCAAGUUGUAUGAAAGUCCUGUUAGGGAAAAGAAAUGAGAUUUUAUGCUAAACAGGAAAAAAGAAGACAUAUCAGAAAUUAAAUAAAGUUAUAAGGUGUAAGAGAAGAAUUAUUCAGGAGAGUGGGAUUUUCUGUUUAAUGAGUUAGCACAACUAAAUCCAUUUCAAAAGAAAAAGGAUAUUGAAGCAGGUGAUUCCUUUAUUGUGUGUGACAUUUACUCUGUGCUGUCCUUUUCUGUAGAUCUAGUAAGACUUGUAACUGUAUGUUUAAUGUGAAGCGCAAAAGUAGUUCUAGGGGCUAUUGCCACUAGUAUUGAACACAGACCUCAGAAAUGAGAGUUGUAAUGAGACAGCAGAAUGCCCUAAGGUCUUGUUUAAAAAUGGUGUUUUCUCCAUUACCUUGGGCACUUAUGUAUUACUAGAUAUCACAGGCUGUGCAGAAGCUAUUUCAUUAAAGGUAAUGAUCACACUCUGCUUCUCUGCCAUAGGUGGCAGCAUGGGCUGUCACUUAAAUAAGCAGAUUUGGAGAAAGAGGGACAUACAAUUAAAGAGAGCUGGUGUAGUAACAUGUUAAUGUUGUGCUGGAAUCACCAGGGGAUGUCAACAAGAUGCAUCUCAACUAUAAUAUAGCUUAAAUCUGUGGUUUCUAGGUGGAGAGGGUAGGCUUUUUGCCCUGUGAAAUAAAGUAGACAUAUGGGUGCCUUUAAAUAACAAUUUCUGAAAUGUGAAGAUGUAUCUGGGGGAACAAGGGAGAACUACUAUUUCUCAUGAAACUACAGAGGUAUAUGGAAUAUUGUUAUGUCUUCAAUAGGUAGAUUUUUGCAAGUGCGCUUGCAAUCAGAUAGCAUUAGGUAAUCAGAGAAAGAACAAAAAUAUAAUUAUAGAAAUCAUAAAUCUGAAGGAAUUCUAAAAAAUGUACUGGCUCUUUCCACAAAUUUGAGAUUAGACAGAAGAGAUAAUUAAUGAGGGAUUUCAAAUAAAAGCUCUUCACUUUUCAUUGUCGUACUUUUAAUAUUCAAUUUUUCUAUGAGCUUUUAUGACCUUUUUGUUUCAUUGAGAACUUAAAAACUUGUGCUGUAUUGUGUCUGUUAAUAAAACAAGGCCACUAACACAA